UUGCAAUGAUGAUGAGAAUUAAAUGACCUGAUAUCAUCUAAGCGAUGUUGAUCAGGAGAUGAUCGCUUUAAUCUUCUCUCUGAGCAA
rfam:Octopus bimaculoides Scaffold198159_contig_33, whole genome shotgun sequence.